CAACCUUCCGUACACUCAGGGAUAGCCUUUCGAAAGAAAGAUUAAUACCCGAUGGCAUAGUUCUUCCGCAUGGUGGAACUAUUAAAGAAUUUCGGUCAUCGAUGGGGAUGCGUUCCAUUAGGUUGUUGGCGGGGUAACGGCCACCAAGCCUUCGAUGGAUAGGGGUUCUGAGAGGAAGGUCCCCCACAUUGGAACUGAGACACGGUCCAAACUCCUACGGGAGGCAGCAGUGAGGAAUAUUGGUCAAUGGACGAGAGUCUGAACCAGCCAAGUAGCGUGAAGGAUGACUGCCCUAUGGGUUGUAAACUUCUUUUAUACGGGAAUCAAGUGAGGCACGCGUGCCUUUUUGUAUGUACCGUAUGAAUAAGGAUCGGCUAACUCCGUGCCAGCAGCCGCGGUAAUACGGAGGAUCCGAGCGUUAUCCGGAUUUAUUGGGUUUAAAGGGAGCGUAGGCGGACGCUUAAGUCAGUUGUGAAAGUUUGCGGCUCAACCGUAAAAUUGCAGUUGAUACCGGGUGUCUUGAGUACAGUAGAGGCAGGCGGAAUUCGUGGUGUAGCGGUGAAAUGCUUAGAUAUCACGAAGAACUCCGAUUG
rnacentral:rRNA from 1 species